CACAGUAUAUAUACUGAUGUGAAAAAGAAAGAAAAGAUGAGGUAACAUUGUUUCCGUCUCCCUGUGUGGCUUCAGGAAGUGCAGCCUCUUAAAAUAACCAAUGCUUGCCACACACCUCUUUCUCUUGUUUAUGUCCUUUUGAACAAAUCAGUAGUUGAUACAUCGAUCAUGCUUCCAACUCAGGGGCUUCCCGGGCAUGUGAGGCAUCACGAAGUAAGAAGGGGAGCAAAGAAGAGGGUGCCACUGAUGCGUAGCACAACUUUGUCCUUAAUCACCACUUCCAACUCAUAUCGAUGAGCCUAAUGCCAGUACCAAACCACCCGUAAGCGUUGAUCUACACUUUGUCGGAGCAUAUCGAUCCAAAGACGGGCGUCAAUCUUGCUCACUUGGUGAUCUGCAUUCUCUUGAAGACGAAAUGAGAGGGGAGACAAGAUUGUAAUCAAACAAUUGCUUCCUUCGCUGCUUUUUAUAGAAAGCAUAAGGCUCCCCACUGCUUAGGUUUU
rnacentral:lncRNA from 1 species